rnacentral:rRNA from 1 species
AAGCUCGUAGUUGAAUUUCGGGAUUAAUAUGCUGGUCGUGCCAUUGGUACGUACUAGUAUUAUUGAUUUCUCCCUUCUGAUAAAUCAUGAUGUCAUUAAUUUGAUGUCAUGGGGAAUCAGGACUGUUACUUUGAAAAAAUUAGAGUGUUUAAAGCAGGCUAACGCUUGAAUACAUUAGCAUGGAAUAAUGAAAUAGGACGUUCGAUCCUAUUUUGUUGGUUUCUAGGAUUGACGUAAUGAUUAAUAGGGAUAGUUGGG